ACGCACGCUGGCGGCGUGCUUAACACAUGCAAGUCGAACGGAAAGGCCCUGCUUUUGUGGGGUGCUCGAGUGGCGAACGGGUGAGUAACACGUGAGUAACCUGCCCUUGACUUUGGGAUAACUUCAGGAAACUGGGGCUAAUACCGGAUAGGAGCUCCUGCUGCAUGGUGGGGGUUGGAAAGUUUCGGCGGUUGGGGAUGGACUCGCGGCUUAUCAGCUUGUUGGUGGGGUAGUGGCUUGCCAAGGCUUUGACGGGUAGCCGGCCUGAGAGGGUGACCGGCCACAUUGGGACUGAGAUACGGCCCAGACUCAUACGGGAGGCAGCAGUGGGGAAUAUUGCACAAUGGGCGGAAGCCUGAUGCAGCAACGCCGCGUGCGGGAUGACGGCCUUCGGGUUGUAAACCGCUUUCGCCUGUGACGAAGCGUGAGUGACGGUAAUGGGUAAAGAAGCACCGGCUAACUACGUG
rnacentral:rRNA from 1 species